UACGUAGGGGGCAAGCGUUGUCCGGAAUUAUUGGGCGUAAAGAGCUCGUAGGUGGCUUGUCGCGUCUGCCGUGAAAGCCCAUGGCUUAACUGGGAAACUGCAUCGGAAACUGACCGGCUUGAAGGUGGGAGAGGGUAGUGGAAUUCCCGGUGUAGUGGUGAAAUGCGUAGAUAUCGGGAGGAACACCAGUGGCGAAGGCGACUACCUGGCCCAUUCUUGACGCUGAGGCGCGAAAGCUAGGGGAGCGAACGGG
rnacentral:rRNA from 1 species